ACUGCAGAAAGACAUUGCUGUGAUAACUUAUAAAUAAAAUUAAAACUGACAAUUGUAGAGUAUUAUUAAGAAAAAUGUCUCAAUCCUGGAAAUGCAUGAAGCUGAAAGUUCAGCAUGGUAUGUGGACAAAUGGUCUUUCCAUGGCUGAAGGGAACCUAGCUGUGCUUCCGUACUAGCCUGCACAUUACCGUCCUCCAGGAAUUACUGUGCAUUCCAACAUGGGGCAGUUCUUUCUCCUAAGAUAGAUCUAGAUCUAUCAGUGGUUCUCACCUCGGAGCAAUUUGGCCCCUCAGGGGACAUUUGACCAUGUCUGGAGACACUUUGAGUUCUCACAACUAAUAAACCUAAUAGCAUCUAGUGGUAGAGGCCAGGGAUGUGCUAAACAUCCUUAAAUACAUGGACGACCCCCUUCCCCGCAGCAGACUUAUCUGGUCCAAACUGUCACUGGUGCCAAGGAUAAGAAAUCCUGAAAUUUUCAAAACUGAGUUGACACAUAAGCAAACGUGAUUCAUUUGUUAGAGGGAAGAAUACCAAGUGCCCACAUAGGCCUGGGGCUGUCCCUAGAAUGCUCAUAUGUUUAGAAAUGUCAACUUCAGCACACUGUCCGAGGCCACAAAGAAAACCCUCGAGACUUGUUUACCAACCUCUGAAACCAAUGGCUCCUCCAGUGAUGCAGCCACUAAUGACACUGUUCUUCCAAUCCGAUUUCCCCCGGUACUGUGGGCAGAGAAGGGCAGUUUAGAGCCAAAGAAACAUGCCAGACAAGACGAUGAAGGGAAAACACGGGGUUCCUAGCUGGCUAAUUUAGUCCCGCCCCAAGGGAAACCUAAAAGGUUUCCUCUCUUUUUCUUUCAGAAGGAUACCUCCUAAAAUUUGAAUGUGUUCCUAGAUGCUUCCUGCAGGUGACACCAGAGCACUGAAACCAAGUACAGCAUUAUUCAAAUCAUGUCUCAGGCUCUCUAAUAAAUCUCAUGUUUAAGAUCACCAACCAAUGGUAAGCCUACUAAAAGAAGUCAAGAAUCAUGCAAGCCCAAUUCAUAAAUACAAAAAGUUUACAGUAGGGGCUAUUUUAUGGACAUUCAAUCUAGCAAUUUCUGAUCUGCCUUCUAAUAACAUUAAGAGGCUUUCUCUUUAGAAGUCCUAAGAUGACAGGAGACAAAGCUUUCAUAGAAGGCAGAGACACUUACAGAUUCAACCAAACACUCGGUGCAAGAAAACAUGGCGCCCACAAUGGCGAAAUUUUUGGCGUAGGACAUUCCUCGCUGCCCCAUGUCUUUCAGAACUUCCUUUGCUGUCGGAGUCCGGUAAGGGUCCUUAGGGUCAAAGCCCACAUUGGUAUCGAUGCCAGCGGUGAACACCCCAAAUGCACCUCCCAAGACAAAUCCUAAAAACAAGCAGAGAUGAGAUGUGUUUGGCAUGUUUUCUGAAUUACUGCAGUGGGUCACAUUCCAACAGCACCUUCGGUGGCCACCCAUGAAGAGGAUACCCACCCCCUUACCCCCCAAACUCGCCACUAGCCUGGCUUCCACACGACACAACCUAGGAUCUGUCUUGUUGACAGCUUCCUCUGUAUCUCCUCCUGGAUUUCUUCCUCAUUUCAUCUUAUCUUUCUCAAGGUUCAGUCUUUACCCUCUGUUCUCUCCCUACACUCUCUCACCUGUAACCAGCCACCCUGAGUGCAGCUGUCAACUUUGCAAAGCACUCCCUUAACAAUAGUAACAUGCACAAUAGUCAUUUAAUAAAUACCAUCUGCCAAUUACUAU